rnacentral:lncRNA from 1 species
CCAAUCAUUACUCUCGUUACGUCCCACCUAGAGAUGCCAUGGGGCUUGUCCAGAUUUCCCAACUGAGGUUUCAGUGAAGGGACAGGCUGGCUGGUAACAGUGUGAUCAGGAGAGAGUGAGUGAGUGAGAGUUUGACUGAGAGCAGUGUGUGAUUUCAGAUCUUCUACCAGGUGAAUCUCUCACCCAGGGAGGUAGCACACUGUGACAGCGGUAUCAACCAGACUCUGACAGAGAAUUGGAAGAAAGUCAUGUAUCUACCCAGGCCAGAGAACCAGCCGUAAAAGACAAAAGGCGGUCUCCCCCUUCGGACAGGCCUCCCACCUCCCCCCACGCCAACCCUCACCACAGUGCCUCCCCAGAGGACCAGGAGAGCCCGGAGAGAGUGGUUCAGAAAGAGAAACUGCAUGCAGAGCUGAAACAGGUGCUGAGUCUGAAGAGAAGUCACCUGAAAGAGUCGUCUCGUUUGGCCCAAGCAGAGAUGGAUUCCUCAGAGGCCCACGCAGUGGUAAAGAGCCAAGAAACCACUAAUACUCAUGAAACAGGAACAUUUACACAGGCCUAGAAAACACUCAGAAUCGCAUGCCAUUCUACUGUUCACAUCUGAAGACGAGACCUUCAUUGUAUUUAUUAUUAUUUAUUUUAAUUGAACCUUUAUUUAACGAGGCAAGUCAGUUAAAAACUCAUUCUUAUUUACAAUGACG